UACAGAGGAUGCAGGCGUUAUCCGGAAUGAUUGGGCGUAAAGCGUCUGUAGGUGGCUUUUUAAGUCCGCCGUCAAAUCCCAGGGCUCAACCCUGGACAGGCGGUGGAAACUACCAAGCUGGAGUAAGGUAGGGGCAGAGGGAAUUUCCGGUGGAGCGGUGAAAUGCGUAGAGAUCGGGAAGAACACCGACGGCGAAGGCACUCUGCUGGGACGACACUGACGCUGAG
rnacentral:rRNA from 1 species